rnacentral:rRNA from 1 species
CGACGCCGCGUGAGGGAUGACGGCCUUCGGGUUGUAAACCUCUUUCAGUAGGGAAGAAGCGAAAGUGACGGUACCUGCAGAAGAAGCGCCGGCUAACUACGUGCCAGCAGCCGCGGUAAUACGUAGGGCGCAAGCGUUAUCCGGAAUUAUUGGGCGUAAAGAGCUCGUAGGCGGUUUGUCGCGUCUGCCGUGAAAGUCCGGGGCUCAACUCCGGAUCUGCGGUGGGUACGGGCAGACUAGAGUGAUGUAGGGGAGACUGGAAUUCCUGGUGUAGCGGUGAAAUGCGCAGAUAUCAGGAGGAACACCGAUGGCGAAGGCAGGUCUCUGGGCAUUAACUGACGCUGAGGAGCGAAAGCAUGGGGAGCGAACAGGAUUAGAUACCCUGGUAGUCCAUGCCGUAAACGUUGGGCACUAGGUGUGGGGGACAUUCCACGUUUUCCGCGCCGUAGCUAACGCAUUAAGUGCCCCGCCUGGG